AGACAGGUGCUGCAUGGCUGUCGUCAGCUCGUGUUGUGAAAUGUUGGGUUAAGUCCCGCAACGAGCGCAACCCUUAUCCUUUGUUGCCAGCGGUCCGGCCGGGAACUCAAAGGAGACUGCCAGUGAUAAACUGGAGGAAGGUGGGGAUGACGUCAAGUCAUCAUGGCCCUUACGACCAGGGCUACACACGUGCUACAAUGGCAUAUACAAAGAGAAGCGACCUCGCGAGAGCAAGCGGACCUCAUAAAGUAUGUCGUAGUCCGGAUUGGAGUCUGCAACUCGACUCCAUGAAGUCGGAAUCGCUAGUAAUCGUAGAUCAGAAUGCUACGGUGAAUACGUUCCCGGGCCUUGUACACACCGCCCGUCACACCAUGGGAGUGGGUUGCAAAAGAAGUAGGUAGCUUAACCUUCGGGAGGGCGCUUACCACUUUGUGAUUCAUGACUGGGGUGAAGUCGUAACAAGGUAACCGUAGGGGAACCUGCGGUUGGAUCACCUCCUUA
rnacentral:rRNA from 1 species